rnacentral:rRNA from 1 species
ACGAGUGGCGGACGGGUGAGUAAUGUCUGGGAAACUGCCUGAUGGAGGGGGAUAACUACUGGAAACGGUAGCUAAUACCGCAUAACGUCGCAAGACCAAAGAGGGGGACCUUAGGGCCUCUUGCCAUCGGAUGUGCCCAGAUGGGAUUAGCUAGUAGGUGGGGUAAAGGCUCACCUAGGCGACGAUCCCUAGCUGGUCUGAGAGGAUGACCAGCCACACUGGAACUGAGACACGGUCCAGACUCCUACGGGAGGCAGCAGUGGGGAAUAUUGCACAAUGGGCGCAAGCCUGAUGCAGCCAUGCCGCGUGUAUGAAGAAGGCCUUCGGGUUGUAAAGUACUUUCAGCGGGGAGGAAGGGAGUAAAG